rnacentral:rRNA from 1 species
AACGAACGCUGGCGGCAGGCCUUACACAUGCAAGUCGAGCGCCCUGCAAGGGGAGCGGCGGACGGGUGAGUAACACGUGGGAAUUGUCCUCAAGGUACGGAACAACUCAGGGAAACUUGGGCUAAUACCGUAUGAUGUCUAGCGAACAAAGAUUUAUCGCCUUGGGUUAAGGCCGCGUCAGAUUAGGUCGUUGGUGAGGUAACGGCUCACCAAGCGUGUGAUCUGUAGCUGGUCUGAGAGGACGAUCAGCCACACUGGGAUUGAGACACGGCCCAAGCUCCUACGGAAGGCAGCAGUGGGGAAUCUUGCGAAAUGGGCGAAAGCCUGACGCAGCCAUGCCGCGUGAAUGAUGAAGGUCUUAGGAUUGUAAAGUUCUUUCGCCUGUGACGAUGAUGACGGUAACAGGAGAGGAAGCCCCGGCUAACUUCGUGCCAGCAGCCGCCGUAACAC